UGAGACAGCAAAUUUAAGAAAAAUUGUAUAGUACAAUACAUGUUUAGUACUGAAUCCUUCUCUCUAAACGAAAAGCAAGAUUUGAUUACUCCAUAUCCCUUUUCAGUUUAAUUAUCUCUGAUGUUGUUCAACGAAGAUGACCAGAAACUCUAAAAAUCCCUUUCAUCACUACAGAAAUUCAGCGCACAUAGCCGAUCAAAUAUAGCUGCAAAUCAUUUAUUUUCUUCUCAAAACUCAUUCCGUCCUGGAAGACUAGUAUGCAUAUCUGUUUUGUUCGGAUCACACAAAAGCAAAUGAUUUUCAGUCAGUAGAAUGGUAACGAAAUACACAGAAAAAGUUGUUCUACGGAAUCAAUAGCUCCCAGAAUCGCUUGUUCUAUUACCGAGCAAAGCAAAAUGGCCUAGUUCACCUAUGCCGGCCGAUUCACUUGGUGAUGUAUGCAGCGCUAGAACAAAAAAAAUCUUAGAAAUGGAAGAAUUCUGGGGCUGGGCAUUACGGAGCAAAGCACUGACUAGGAGAACGGCGCUAAUCUCCAAGCACCCCAGCGGGAGCAGGGCAGCUCGCGUUGGUGACCACGUCGGGGAGCGCAAGUGCCUGGGGUGGUCGUCAUCCCCGCGGCAGUCGUCGAAGUGUAGCCCCACGCCAGGGAGCAGCAGAUGCGUGGACAUGGUCGUCGCCGUCGCGAGCGCCGUCGACGCAGCCCCGUGUCAGGUGGAGCGGCAGAAACCUGGAGGUGGUUGUCGUCGACGCGCAACCUCCCUACCGCGGCUACGGCCUCCCCGGCGGCUAAAUCCGGCAACGAGAAGACGACCCCCGCCACGGUCUCAAGGCCUUGGCGCCGGCCUCCGGUGGAUCCCACAGCCGCCGCUUCAUCUGGAUGCGCGUGGGAAGCCGAAGACCCCGCCAGCCGUCGCCGGGGUGGUGGGGAGGCGCGUCGCCGGGGCAGGUGCCGGGCACGGGAGCUCCAUGGAGGGGAAGUGGUGUGGUGGCUUGCUCGUGAGUGGGUGGGUCGUGGAGACCGGGAGAGGAGAGGAGUAGUGCGGCCGUGGAGAGACA
rnacentral:lncRNA from 1 species